ACACUCCUGCGGGAGGCAGCAGUGGGGAAUUUUGGACAAUGGGCGAAAGCCUGAUCCAGCCAUGCCGCGUGCAGGAUGAAGGCCUUCGGGUUGUAAACUGCUUUUGUACGGAACGAAACGGCCUUUUCUAAUAAAGAGGGCUAAUGACGGUACCGUAAGAAUAAGCACCGGCUAACUACGUGCCAGCAGCCGCGGUAAUACGGUGGGUGCAAGCGUUAAUCGGAAUUACUUGGCGUAAAGCGUGCGCAGGCGGAUAUGUAAGACAGUUGUGAAAUCCCCGGGCUCAACCUGGGAACUGCAUCUGUGACUGCAUAGCUAGAGUACGGUAGAGGGGGAUGGAAUUCCGCGUGUAGCAGUGAAAUGCGUAGAUAUGCGGAGGAACACCGAUUGCGAAGGCAAUCCCCUGGACCUGUACUGACGCUCAUGCACGAAAGCGUGGGGAGCAAACAGGAUUAGAAACCCGAGUAGUCCCA
rnacentral:rRNA from 1 species